rnacentral:RNase_MRP_RNA from 1 species
GAAAGUCCCCGUGCCUUGGGUCAGAGAGUGUCAGCGGGAGACCGCAAUUUUGAUCCUGUUGCUCGUUAUCUUGAUCUGGA